rnacentral:miRNA from 1 species
AUAUAUACUUGUGUGUAUGGAUAUGUGCGUAUAUGUAUGUGAGUGUACACACACAUACACACACACACACACACACACACACACACACACACA